rnacentral:tRNA from 1 species
ACCUAGCUGGCUCAGUCAGAAAAGCAUGCAACCCUUGAUCUCGGGGUUGUGAGUUCGAGUCUCACGUUGGGUG